UUUUAUGAUUCUCAAUUUCAACAACAAUAUAAUUUUCCGUUAACAGCACAUUUUUUGAAAAAGAUUUAGUCUUGCACUUUCUUUUCGGGGUCUACUGUUUAGCGUCAUUCAUUUCUCAAAUUAUUUGCAAUGGCCGCCAUGUUUUGUAAAAUGUCAAAGUGACAAAAUUCUAAUAUUUUGAUUUACGGGAGCAGAAAGCAGACCCCUACUAAACAAUUUAAGUUGACAAAGUUGUGAAGAAUGAAUUCAUUCUAGCCUUUUAUCUAAUUCAGUUUUCCCUGGAACUAGUGUUUGUAUAAUGGACUAACAGUGCAGAAAAUAUUUUCGCCUACGAUCUUAACCUGUUGCUAGUUAAGUUGACAGCAAAAUGUUUUACGGCAUUUCAAACUGUUGCUGUUGGAUUCACAGCUUCAGCAACUACAAGAUUGGGCACGAAGAGAGGAGUCUAAUUCAAGAUCUGACAGAUGGGAAUCUUGCCUCCUCGCAAGAUCAGCUCAAAAAUGUUGGAUCAAAACCUACUUUGCUUGAAGCUAUGCAGCAAGAUUGGAAGAAAAAAAGGAAUCGCUUUUAGAAAAAAAAUAGGCUUAACUCUCUACUUUCAAGAAGAAAUGACGGCCUGGGUAGACUUACAGGGGAGCUCAAGGCUUUAACUGAUCAACUUGUUCAUGCUAAUAAAGAAAAAUCUGAAGCCCUUAUUAAAACUGAAGAGCUUAACAGCCAACAACUCACUUUGGAAUACAAAGAGAGAAGGCUGGACCAAGAACGGGAACUUAUUGUUCGACAACAGAGGCUUCUGCAAGAUGAACUUGAAACAAGAACAAGAGAGAUUAUGACCAUACGACGUGAGAAGACUUCAAGAGUGCUAGAACUCGAAGAACUAGAAGAAAACAUUGAAGCCAUGUCACCUGCGGCUUCUCGGUUGUUAAAAUCAGGAAUGACCCUAACUCAGAUUUAUAGUCAAUAUGUGUCUAUUUCUGAGCAAAU